UACGAAGGGUGCAAACGUUGCUCGGAAUCAUUGGGCGUAAGACGCGACGUAGGCGGCCUCAUAAGUCGGAUGUGAAAUCCCUCGGCUCAACCGAGGACGUGCAUUCGAAACUGCGAGGCUCGAGUAUGGAAGAGGGUCGCGGAAUUCCCGGUGUAGAGGUGAAAUGCGUAGAUAUCGGGAGGAACACCAGUGGCGAAGGCGACUUACUGGACACAUAUUGACGCUGAGGUGCGAAGGCGUGGGGAGCAAACAGGG
rnacentral:rRNA from 1 species